CGAUAUUGGCUUAUUUGGUAUUUUUUAGUAGGUAUCGAUAGUUUAUCUAAAUGCUAGGGUAACACUAUACUUAUUGCUACUUUGUUUACAUUAUUUUUAAUUGUUUUUAUUUUGAUUUCAGGUGGAGUAUGCAGCCGUGGAGAACAUCACUACGUCUAUUGGUCUCGUCAUCAGCUGCGAAGUGGAAUCCUUGCGAGUGUCGGCGCUAAACUGGGACUGCAGGACAGCAUCAACAGGGCUGAAGCUGGCCGAGGUCCAGUGCAUCGUCAUUCUGGAUGUGGAUUUCGAUUUUCUGUGAAGGUGAGUGGAUUCGUAUCUGUGGAAGAAUAAAAGGGGUUUUAGUUUCUUUUCAGCCGCCGCCAUCAUCUGGAUUCUGGAGCUGCCGCUGUUCAUCAUCAGGUUCUCUGCUGGGGGCGUCAUUUGCCUGCGUAGCAGCUGCAUUUGCGCUACUGCGGCUGAUUUCCAUGUUGUGUGUUGCAAAUGGAUUGCGCAGCCAGUUCUCGCGUCUGACUUGGAGCAGUAUUGUUUGGAUGGCUGUCAGGCUUCUGUUGCUGUUUGGAUUGUGCUCUUCAAUCAUUGCGGUAUACCUUGGCCUGGCCAGCCUUCUUGGAAUGUAUGGGUGCGUUGCAAUCUCACAGUUGCUACUUGAAGAUCCGCAUGCAGUGCGUUGUUGCUCACAUACCAGGGAGCAUUCGUCAUUGCUCUGAGAGCUUUGUUUUGGAUCGUCUGGAGCUUGGCCAUUUGCAUGCUUGAAGUCAGUGGCCCCCA
rnacentral:misc_RNA from 15 species